AGACAGACAGACAGACAGACAGACGUUUCCUCCGCCUGUCCUGGAUUCGCUUUGGGUUAACCAGCAGCGCUCGGAUCAUAAAGUGACGCCAGGAUGGGAGCAUCUCCACAAUAUCUGCUCUUUUCCUGUUUGCUGAUUGGCUGCAUAACAACUGAAGUCCUUGCAGCUACUCUGACUGCGAAUCCCAGCAGAUCUCAGUUCUUUGAAGGAGAAUCUGUGACUCUGACAUGUGAGGAUGAAAACAUCUCUGAUGGAUGGGCUGUGAGGAGAAUCACAACCAGAAGAUCCGAGAAGCAGUGCGGAAAUGAAUGGGGGGAACCAGCUGGUUCCUCCUGCAGCAUCACCUUGCGCCCAGAUGAUUCUGGUGUGUACUGGUGUGAGUCCACGUCUGGAUCCUCCAGCAGAAACAGCAUCCAGCUCUCUGUCUCUGGUA